rnacentral:rRNA from 1 species
AAAUUGAAGAGUUUGAUCAUGGCUCAGAUUGAACGCUGGCGGCAGGCCUAACACAUGCAAGUCGAACGGUAACAGGAAGCAGCUUGCUGCUUUGCUGACGAGUGGCGGACGGGUGAGUAAUGUCUGGGAAACUGCCUGAUGGAGGGGGAUAACUACUGGAAACGGUAGCUAAUACCGCAUAACGUCGCAAGACCAAAGAGGGGGACCUUCGGGCCUCUUGCCAUCGGAUGUGCCCAGAUGGGAUUAGCUAGUAGGUGGGGUAACGGCUCACCUAGGCGACGAUCCCUAGCUGGUCUGAGAGGAUGACCAGCCACACUGGAACUGAGACACGGUCCAGACUCCUACGGGAGGCAGCAGUGGGGAAUAUUGCACAAUGGGCGCAAGCCUGAUGCAGCCAUGCCGCGUGUAUGAAGAAGGCCUUCGGGUUGUAAAGUACUUUCAGCGGGGAGGAAGGGAGUAAAGUUAAUACCUUUGCUCAUUGACGUUACCCGCAGAAGAAGCACCGGCUAACUCCGUGCCAGCAGCCGCGGUAAUACGGAGGGUGCAAGCGUUAAUCGGAAUUACUGGGCGUAAAGCGCACGCAGGCGGUUUGUUAAGUCAGAUGUGAAAUCCCCGGGCUCAACCUGGGAACUGCAUCUGAUACUGGCAAGCUUGAGUCUCGUAGAGGGGGGUAGAAUUCCAGGUGUAGCGGUGAAAUGCGUAGAGAUCUGGAGGAAUACCGGUGGCGAAGGCGGCCCCCUGGACGAAGACUGACGCUCAGGUGCGAAAGCGUGGGGAGCAAACAGGAUUAGAUACCCUGGUAGUCCACGCCGUAAACGAUGUCGACUUGGAGGUUGUGCCCUUGAGGCGUGGCUUCCGGAGCUAACGCNNNNNNNNNNCCUGGACGAAGACUGACGCUCAGGUGCGAAAGCGUGGGGAGCAAACAGGAUUAGAUACCCUGGUAGUCCACGCCGUAAACGAUGUCGACUUGGAGGUUGUGCCCUUGAGGCGUGGCUUCCGGAGCUAACGUGUUAAGUCGACCGCCUGGGGAGUACGGCCGCAAGGUUAAAACUCAAAUGAAUUGACGGGGGCCCGCACAAGCGGUGGAGCAUGUGGUUUAAUUCGAUGCAACGCGAAGAACCUUACCUGGUCUUGACAUCCACGGAAGUUUUCAGAGAUGAGAAUGUGCCUUCGGGAACCGUGAGACAGGUGCUGCAUGGCUGUCGUCAGCUCGUGUUGUGAAAUGUUGGGUUAAGUCCCGCAACGAGCGCAACCCUUAUCCUUUGUUGCCAGCGGUCCGGCCGGGAACUCAAAGGAGACUGCCAGUGAUAAACUGGAGGAAGGUGGGGAUGACGUCAAGUCAUCAUGGCCCUUACGACCAGGGCUACACACGUGCUACAAUGGCGCAUACAAAGAGAAGCGACCUCGCGAGAGCAAGCGGACCUCAUAAAGUGCGUCGUAGUCCGGAUUGGAGUCUGCAACUCGACUCCAUGAAGUCGGAAUCGCUAGUAAUCGUGGAUCAGAAUGCCACGGUGAAUACGUUCCCGGGCCUUGUACACACCGCCCGUCACACCAUGGGAGUGGGUUGCAAAAGAAGUAGGUAGCUUAACCUUCGGGAGGGCGCUUACCACUUUGUGAUUCAUGACUGGGGUGAAGUCGUAACAAGGUAACCGUAGGGGAACCUGCGGUUGGAUCACCUCCUUA